AACACCAGACAAUUUUACUUGUCAGGGGGAAAGUGCUGCCACUCAAUGGUUAACUCUGAGUGGUAGCACUCUCCCCUUGAAGAGUAAAAUCAUCUGCCAC